rnacentral:rRNA from 1 species
CGAAAGCGUGGGGAUCAAACAGGAUUAGAUACCNNGGUAGUCCACGCAGUAAACGAUGAUAACUAGCUGUUUGCGAUACACAGUAAGCGGCACAGCGAAAGCGUUAAGUUAUCCACCUGGGGAGUACGCCGGCAACGGUGAAACUCAAAGGAAUUGACGGGGGCCCGCACAAGCGGAGGAACAUGUGGUUUAAUUCGAUGAUACGCGAGGAACCUUACCUGGGCUUAAAUUGCAGUGGAAUAACGUGGAAACAUGUUAGCCUUCGGGCCGCUGUGAAGGUGCUGCAUGGUUGUCGUCAGCUCGUGCCGUGAGGUGUCGGCUUAAGUGCCAUAACGAGCGCAACCCUCAUCGAUAGUUACUAACAGGUUAAGCUGAGGACUCUAUCGAGACUGCCGACGUAAGUCGUGAGGAAGGUGGGGAUGACGUCAAAUCAGCACGGCCCUUACGUCCAGGGCUACACACGUGUUACAAUGGGGGGUACAAAGGGCAGCUACCUGGCGACAGGAUGCUAAUCUCAAAAACCUCUCUCAGUUCGGAUUGGAGUCUGCAACCCGACUCCAUGAAGCUGGAUUCGCUAGUAAUCGCGCAUCAGCCACGGCGCGGUGAAUACGUUCCCGGGCCUUGUACACACCGCCCGUCAAGCCAUGGAAGCUGGGGGUACCUGAAGUAUGCAACCGCAAGGAGCGUCCUAGGGUAAAACCGGUAACUGGGGCU